rnacentral:rRNA from 1 species
GACAUAGGUGGCGAACGUUAUCCGGAUUCAUUGGGCGUAAAGGGUGCGUAGGCGGCGCGGUAAGUCGGGUGUGAAAUCUCGGAGCUUAACUCCGAAACUGCAUUCGAUACUGCCGUGCUUGAGGACUGGAGAGGAGACUGGAAUUUACGGUGUAGCGGUGAAAUGCGUAGAUAUCGUAAGGAAGACCAGUGGCGAAGGCGGGUCUCUGGACAGUUCCUGACGCUGAGGCACGAAGGCCAGGGGAGCAAACGGG